GAUGAACGCUAGCUACAGGCUUAACACAUGCAAGUAGAGGGGCAUCAUUGUAUUGAUUUCGGUCAUUACAGAUGGCGACCUGCGGAUGGGUGAGUAACACGUAUCCAACCUGCCCGUCACCGGAGUAUAGCCUCCCGAAAGGGAAAUUAACACUCCGCGACAUCAUUUCGGGGCAUCCCGUUAUGAUUAAAGUUUUACGGUGUCGGAUGGGGAUGCGUCCCAUUAGAUAGUAGGCGGGGUAACGGCCCACCUAGUCGUCGAUGGGUAGGGGUUCUGAGAGGAAGGUCCCCCACAUUGGAACUGAGACACGGUCCAAACUCCUACGGGAGGCAGCAGUGAGGAAUAUUGGUCAAUGGGCGAGAGCCUGAACCAGCCAAGUAGCGUGCAGGAAGACGGCCCUAUGGGUUGUAAACUGCUUUUAUACGGGAAUAAAGUUUGCCACGUGUGGCAUUUGCAUUACCUA
rnacentral:rRNA from 1 species